AUACGAAAGGUGCAAGCGUUGUUCGGAUUUACUGGGCGUAAAGAGAUCGUAGGUGGUUUAUUAAGUCGGAUGUGAAAUCCCGGGGCUCAACCCCGGAACUGCAUUCGAUACUGGUAGACUAGAGUUUGGGAGGGGUAAGCGGAAUUCCGUGUGUAGCAGUGAAAUGCGUAGAUAUACGGAGGAACACCUGAGGCGAAGGCGGCUUACUGGACCAAUACUGACACUGAGGAUCGAAAGCGUGGGUAGCGAACAGGAUUAGAAACCCUAGUAGUCC
rnacentral:rRNA from 1 species